CCUACGGGGAGCAGCAGUGAGGAAUAUUGGUCAAUGGACGAGAGUCUGAACCAGCCAAGUAGCGUGAAGGAUGACUGCCCUAUGGGUUGUAAACUUCUUUUAUAAAGGAAUAAAACGAGGCACGUGUGCCUUUUUGCAUGUACUUUAUGAAUAAGGAUCGGCUAACUCCGUGCCAGCAGCCGCGGUAAUACGGAGGAUCCGAGCGUUAUCCGGAUUUAUUGGGUUUAAAGGGAGCGUAGAUGGGUUGUUAAGUCAGUUGUGAAAGUUUGCGGCUCAACCGUAAAAUUGCAAUUGAUACUGGCAGUCGUGAGUACAGUUGAGGUAGGCGGAAUUCGUGGUGGAGCGGUGAAAUGCUUAGAUAUCACGAAGAACCCCGAUUGCGAAGGCAGCUUACUAAACUGUGACUGACAUUGAUGCUCGAAAGUGUGGGUAUCAAACAGGAUUAGAUACCCUAGUAGUC
rnacentral:rRNA from 1 species